rnacentral:rRNA from 1 species
GAUGAACGCUGGCGGCGUGCCUAAUACAUGCAAGUCGAGCGAACAGACGAGGAGCUUGCUCCUCUGACGUUAGCGGCGGACGGGUGAGUAACACGUGGAUAACCUACCUAUAAGACUGGGAUAACUUCGGGAAACCGGAGCUAAUACCGGAUAAUAUAUUGAACCGCAUGGUUCAAUAGUGAAAGACGGUUUUGCUGUCACUUAUAGAUGGAUCCGCGCCGCAUUAGCUAGUUGGUAAGGUAACGGCUUACCAAGGCAACGAUGCGUAGCCGACCUGAGAGGGUGAUCGGCCAUACUGGAACUGAGACACGGUCCAGACUUCUACGGGAGGCAGCAGUAGGGAAUCUUCCGCAAUGGGCGAAAGCCUGACGGAGCAACGCCGCGUGAGUGAUGAAGGUCUUCGGAUCGUAAAACUCUGUUAUUAGGGAAGAACAAAUGUGUAAGUAACUAUGCACGUCUUGACGGUACCUAAUCAGAAAGCCACGGCUAACUACGUG